AACCCCCCAAACUCUGUAGUUAUUCCCCAGAGUCUUGCACUGAGGUCUUUUGUGAUAGGCAGAAUUUUAAUAUAUCAAAAUUGCUCUACUGUGAAACUUUAAAUUGUACAACCUUUCUUCCAGACUGAGAAAAGUUUGGCAAAAGAGAUACUGUGUAGCUAAGGAUGGUCACUUUACGUUAGCUCACUCACCGACCAGUAGACCAACCCAAACACUUAACCUUCUUGUUUGCCAAGUAAAAGAGGAAGACGGAAAGAAACAUACUUUCAACAUUGUGUCACACAACAGAACAUAUUUAUUUCAAGCUGAUGAUGAAGCUGACCUGGAAGCAUGGGUAUCUGUUCUUAAUAACAGCCGGACUGAAGCCUUAGAGAAGGCUUUUGGUGACAGUGAUAAAACGAAGU